GGCUACUACUUCUGUUUUUGAAAUAUUACAUUUUACUGAUUUGCAAAGCAAAUUUCAUCGUCUGUGUAAAGGUGCUUAAUAUACGAUCUCUCAAGAUGAGGAGCAAUGGGAAAUAGUGCUGAAAUCACAAAGUGAAGUUGGUGUUUCCAUUUCAAAUAAUGCUGUUGCUUUGGUGACCAUCUACUUGUUCAACUAUCAUAUAAUAUUUUUUUCUUUCAAAAAUACUAAACUAUCUUCAGAUUCUUCAACAUUACUAUUGACUGGAGAAUUAUGUUUAUUAUUAGUGAUUAUAAUUAUGAUUAUUUGUUGUACAAUUUUGAAAUGCUAAUUAAACUAUGAAUUUAGCCAAA